CGGAGAGGGAGCAUGAGACACUGCUACUUCAUCCAAGGAAGGCAGCAGGCGCGCAAAUUACCCAAUCCCGACACGGGGAGGUAGUGACAAUAUGUAACAAUAUACGGCUUUAUUGUCGUAUAAUUGGAAUGAGUACAAUUUAAAUCCCUUAACGAGGAACAAUUGGAGGGCAAGUCUGGUGCCAGCAGCCGCGGUAAUUCCAGCUCCAAUAGCGUAUAUUAAAGUUGUUGCAGUUAAAAAGCUCGUAGUUGGACCUUGGGCCUGGACAGGCGGUCCGCCUCACGGCGUGUACUGUCUUGCUGGGCCUUUCCUCUUGGUGAUCUGUGGUUUCGGCCGCAGGGAACCAGGACCUUUACUUUGAAAAAAUUAGAGUGUUCAAAGCAGGCUUUACGCCAGAAUAUAUUAGCAUGGAAUAAUAAAAUAGGACGUGCGGUUCUAUCUUGUUGGUUUUUGGGAUCGCCGUAAUGAUUAAUAGGGACAGUCGGGGGCAUUAGUACUCACAUGCUAGAGGUGAAAUUCUUGGAUUUUGUGGAGACUAACUUCUGCGAAAGCAUUUGCCAAGGAUGUUUUCAUUAAUCAAGAACGAAGGUUAGGGUAUCGAAGACGAUUAGAUACAGUUGUAGUCUUAACAGUAAACUAUGCCGACUAGGGAUCGGUCGAUGUUAUUUUCUUGGCUCGAUCGGCACCUUACGAGAAAUCAAAGUUUUUGGGUUCUGGGGGGGGUAUGG
rnacentral:rRNA from 1 species